rnacentral:rRNA from 1 species
GGGUUGUGAGGUUAAGCGACUAAGCGUACACGGUGGAUGCCCUGGCAGUCAGAGGCGAUGAAGGACGUGCUAAUCUGCGAUAAGCGCCGGUAAGGUGAUAUGAACCGUUAUAACCGGCGAUUUCCGAAUGGGGAAACCCAGUGUGACUCGUCACACUAUCAUUAACUGAAUCCAUAGGUUAAUGAGGCGAACCGGGGGAACUGAAACAUCUAAGUACCCCGAGGAAAAGAAAUCAACCGAGAUUCCCCCAGUAGCGGCGAGCGAACGGGGAGGAGCCCAGAGCCUGAAUCAGCAUGUGUGUUAGUGGAAGCGUCUGGAAAGGCGCGCGAUACAGGGUGACAGCCCCGUACACAAAAGCGCAUGUGCUGUGAGCUCGAUGAGUAGGGCGGGACACGUGGUAUCCUGUCUGAAUAUGGGGGGACCAUCCUCCAAGGCUAAAUACUCCUGACUGACCGAUAGUGAACCAGUACCGUGAGGGAAAGGCGAAAAGAACCCCGGCGAGGGGAGUGAAAAAGAACCUGAAACCGUGUACGUACAAGCAGUGGGAGCCCCACCACCAAAGCAUUCUCUGGUGUUGAAGGCCCUGCAAAGCAGCAUCGCGGUGGCGGAGCGUCGUUUGCGACGCCCAACACACAAAACAAGCGGUGAGUGCUUUGGGGUGGGGUGACUGCGUACCUUUUGUAUAAUGGGUCAGCGACUUAUAUUCUGUAGCAAGGUUAACCGAAUAGGGGAGCCGGAGGGAAACCGAGUCUUAACCGGGCGUUAAGUUGCAGGGUAUAGACCCGAAACCCGGUGAUCUAGCCAUGGGCAGGUUGAAGGUUGGGUAACACUAACUGGAGGACCGAACCGACUAAUGUUGAAAAAUUAGCGGAUGACCUGUGGCUGGGGGUGAAAGGCCAAUCAAACCGGGAGAUAGCUGGUUCUCCCCGAAAGCUAUUUAGGUAGCGCCUCGUGAAUUCAUCUCCGGGGGUAGAGCACUGUUUCGGCUAGGGGGCCAUCCCGGCUUACCAACCCGAUGCAAACUGCGAAUACCGGAGAAUGUUAUCACGGGAGACACACGGCGGGUGCUAACGUCCGUCGUGAAGAGGGAAACAACCCAGACCGCCAGCUAAGGUCCCAAAGUCAUGGUUAAGUGGGAAACGAUGUGGGAAGGCCCAGACAGCCAGGAUGUUGGCUUAGAAGCAGCCAUCAUUUAAAGAAAGCGUAAUAGCUCACUGGUCGAGUCGGCCUGCGCGGAAGAUGUAACGGGGCUAAACCAUGCACCGAAGCUGCGGCAGCGACACUGUGUGUUGUUGGGUAGGGGAGCGUUCUGUAAGCCUGCGAAGGUGGCCUGUGAGGGUUGCUGGAGGUAUCAGAAGUGCGAAUGCUGACAUAAGUAACGAUAAAGCGGGUGAAAAGCCCGCUCGCCGGAAGACCAAGGGUUCCUGUCCAACGUUAAUCGGGGCAGGGUGAGUCGACCCCUAAGGCGAGGCCGAAAGGCGUAGUCGAUGGGAAACGGGUUAAUAUUCCCGUACUUGGUGUUACUGCGAAGGGGGGACGGAGAAGGCUAUGUUGGCCGGGCGACGGUUGUCCCGGUUUAAGCGUGUAGGUGUGUGUUCCAGGUAAAUCCGGUUCACUUUAACACUGAGGCGUGAUGACGAGGCACUACGGUGCUGAAGCAACAAAUGCCCUGCUUCCAGGAAAAGCCUCUAAGCAUCAGGUAACAUCAAAUCGUACCCCAAACCGACACAGGUGGUCAGGUAGAGAAUACCAAGGCGCUUGAGAGAACUCGGGUGAAGGAACUAGGCAAAAUGGUGCCGUAACUUCGGGAGAAGGCACGCUGACACGUAGGUGAAGUGAUUUACUCAUGGAGCUGAAGUCAGUCGAAGAUACCAGCUGGCUGCAACUGUUUAUUAAAAACACAGCACUGUGCAAACACGAAAGUGGACGUAUACGGUGUGACGCCUGCCCGGUGCCGGAAGGUUAAUUGAUGGGGUCAGCGCAAGCGAAGCUCCUGAUCGAAGCCCCGGUAAACGGCGGCCGUAACUAUAACGGUCCUAAGGUAGCGAAAUUCCUUGUCGGGUAAGUUCCGACCUGCACGAAUGGCGUAAUGAUGGCCAGGCUGUCUCCACCCGAGACUCAGUGAAAUUGAACUCGCUGUGAAGAUGCAGUGUACCCGCGGCAAGACGGAAAGACCCCGUGAACCUUUACUAUAGCUUGACACUGAACAUUGAGCCUUGAUGUGUAGGAUAGGUGGGAGGCUUUGAAGCGUGGACGCCAGUCUGCGUGGAGCCGACCUUGAAAUACCACCCUUUAAUGUUUGAUGUUCUAACGUGGACCCGUGAUCCGGGUUGCGGACAGUGUCUGGUGGGUAGUUUGACUGGGGCGGUCUCCUCCUAAAGAGUAACGGAGGAGCACGAAGGUUGGCUAAUCCUGGUCGGACAUCAGGAGGUUAGUGCAAUGGCAUAAGCCAGCUUGACUGCGAGCGUGACGGCGCGAGCAGGUGCGAAAGCAGGUCAUAGUGAUCCGGUGGUUCUGAAUGGAAGGGCCAUCGCUCAACGGAUAAAAGGUACUCCGGGGAUAACAGGCUGAUACCGCCCAAGAGUUCAUAUCGACGGCGGUGUUUGGCACCUCGAUGUCGGCUCAUCACAUCCUGGGGCUGAAGUAGGUCCCAAGGGUAUGGCUGUUCGCCAUUUAAAGUGGUACGCGAGCUGGGUUUAGAACGUCGUGAGACAGUUCGGUCCCUAUCUGCCGUGGGCGCUGGAGAACUGAGGGGGGCUGCUCCUAGUACGAGAGGACCGGAGUGGACGCAUCACUGGUGUUCGGGUUGUCAUGCCAAUGGCACUGCCCGGUAGCUAAAUGCGGAAGAGAUAAGUGCUGAAAGCAUCUAAGCACGAAACUUGCCCCGAGAUGAGUUCUCCCUGAGACUUAGAGUCUCCUGAAGGAACGUUGAAGACGACGACGUUGAUAGGCCGGGUGUGUAAGCGCAGCGAUGCGUUGAGCUAACCGGUACUAAUGAACCGUGAGGCUUAACCUUACAACGCCGAAG